AGCCAAGAUCGCACCACUGCACUCCAGACUGGGUGACAGGGUGAGACUCCAUCACAAAAAAAAAAAAAAAAUUAAAAACAACCAAAUGUCUGUUAUAACAGCUAUCCACUGCUGCAUCACAAAUUACCCAAAAAGUAAAUGGAAACAACGUUUAUUAUCUCAGUUUCUGCGGGUCAAAAAUCUCAUCAAAAAAGCAGCAGUAUCUUCUCUCAUAAGGUUCCAGUAAAGGUGCUGAUUGGAUUUGGAGAUCAUCUCAAGGAUCUGCUUGGAGAAGGAUUUACUUCCAAGUCUACUUACAUGGCUGUUGGAAAGACUCAAUUUUUCACAGACUGUUAGACUGAUGGCCUGAGUUCUUCACUGACUGUUGGCCAGAGGUCUUCAGCUCCUUGACAUGUGGACCCCAUGACAGCUUGCUUUAUCACAACAAGCAGGCAAGAAGAACCACAGAGAAGAAGAGACAUGGAAGUCAAAUAUUUUAUAUCCAAAUCUUGGAAGUGACACGCCAUGGCAUUUGCCAUAUUCUAUUUAUUGAAAAGAGUUGCUAGGUUGAACCCAUCCUCAAAGGGAGGAUGGCCUGGUUAGUCUCGAAAUCCUGACCUCGUGAUCCGCCCACCUCGGCCUCCCAAAGUGCU
rnacentral:lncRNA from 1 species